rnacentral:rRNA from 1 species
UGCGUAGGUGGCAGAUCAAGUCUGGAGUAAAAGGUAUGGGCUCAACCCGUACUUGCUCUGGAAACUGAUCAGCUAGAGAACAGAAGAGGACGGCGGAACUCCAUGUGUAGCGGUAAAAUGCGUAGAUAUAUGGAAGAACACCGGUGGCGAAGGCGGCCGUCUGGUCUGGAUUCUGACACUGAAGCACGAAAGCGUGGGAGCAAACA